rnacentral:rRNA from 1 species
CCUACGGGAGGCAGCAGUGGGGAAUAUUGCACAAUGGGGGAAACUCUGAUGCAGCGACGCCGCGUGAGUGAAGACGUAUCUCGGUAUGUAAAGCUCUAUCAGCAGGGAAGAAAAUGACGGUACCUGACUAGGAAGCCCCGGCUAACUACGUGCCAGAAGACGCGGUAAUACGUAGGGGGCAGGCGUUAUCCGGAUUUACUGGGUUUAAAGGGAGCGUAGACGGGGAUGCAAGUCAGAAGUGAAAGCCCGGGGCUCAACUCCGGGACUGCUUUUGAAACUGUCAGACUGGAGUUCAGGUGAGGUAAGCGGAAUUCCUGGUGUAGCGGUGAAAUGCGUAGAUAUCAGGAAGAACACCAGUGGCGAAGGCGGCUUACUGGACUGUAACUGACGUUGAGGCUCGAAAGCGUGGGGAGCAAACAGGAUUAGAUACCCGAGUAGUC